CGGCGCUUUGAAUUGAAAUCCUCCGCUGCCGCCCAAUUAGGGAGCGCAGGGCCGCUGCCCCGGACGGACAGGGGGUGGCCCGGGGCUGGGAGGCGCUGCCGGGAAGCGCGGCCGUGCGGGGCCGGAGAGGAACAUUGACCUCCAUCCUGAAGAAGACAUCACUUCCACGAUACUUUGACAUAGUCCCCUGGAAAUGAAGCAAGAGUCUACUAGAAAUGCUGCUUACACGGUGGACUGUGAAGAUUAUGUGCAUGUGAUAAAAUUCAAUCCAUUUAAUAGUGGAGAUGCAUGUUCCCUCAUUGCAUAUGGUGGCAAUAACUAUGUAGUUUCAGGGACACGUAGAUUUCAGGUUUGUUUCUGCAUUUCUGGCGGCAGAACGCUGAGGACCAGAGCUGAUGCAAUAGAAGGUGUUUGGAGCAAAUUUGCCAAUGACACUAAACUUAGAGGAGCUGUGGACUCUGUUGAGGGUGGAAAGGCUGUGCAGAGAGAUCUGGACACAUUGGAGAGCUGGGCAAUCACCAACCAGGGGAAGUUUAACAAGAGCAAGUACCGGCAAAGUACCAGCAAGUACCCUCCUUUAUCCAGAAGUCUUUUGAGAGCUUCAGUAUUCAGCCCCCAAGUUGGCGGAACGCUGAGGACCAGAGCUGAUGCAAUAGCUGCAAGGCAAGUGCGUGGAGAAAAUGGGAAUUUGGAGCCGAAGCUGCAGACUUUGAGGAAGUCGCUACCCUACUACAAAUCCAUCCUUUCUGUUUGACAGCCUUAGAAGAAAUGCCAUUGUCUCAACACUUCUGGAUGGCAUAGACAACAGAGGGGAGAUUGUGGUAAUCAGAGCCACCAACAGACCAGGUUCUAUAGAUCCUGCUUUACGGAGACCAGGACGCUUUGACAGAGAGUUCCUCUUCAACUUGCGAAAUAAAGAGGAAAUGUAAAUCCUAUUUUACAAGCUGAUACACUUGACAGUGACGAUGACGCAUCCUUAAUAUCUGGAGAUGAACUACCAGGAGUGCUUACUAGAAACCGACAUCAUGUGAGCCUCAUCUGCUAAUAACAGGAAAAGAGGGAUAUGGCCAGGUUUCUUAUUUGGCACCCGCGGUGUUGCAUGCUUGUGAGAAGUCUCCAUUCACACCCUGACCCUAUCCAUUCUGUUUACAAACGUUGCACCGCCAGAAGAAAUAUGCGGAGAGGUCUCUUUUUUCUUUUUAUUCUCAUAGGAUUUGUUGACUGUAUGUAAAGGAUCAAUUGAGUUGCAAGUAAGAUUCUUACAAGCUUCAAAUGGCUCCUACUGGGCAUUCCCAGGUAGAACAGCACCAGAUGAGUGUUGAGACCACCGUGGAAGCUUCUACAGAGCCAGACAAUGUAGUUAUUGUGCAGCACUAUGAGCUCAAAGUAUGUCAAAUUCCAACUUUUUUAAAUGCUCAAAUAGGACAUAUUCUUGUGACCUGUACAAUUACAACUUAAGUCAGUUGUUAAGCAAUGCCAAUUAAAACAAUUAAUUGGAAGGACAUACAGAUUGUGAAGUAAUUCAACCUAUAAUGCACUGUGGCUGUUUAGUUUCCACACCUUGUGUAGAUUUCUGUAGGCCACCGUUUGCUUUUGGUCAACUGUAGUUGAGGAGACAGAUUCUUUGCCUAAUUUUUAAGGUAAAAGGCCUUGUUGAAUUUUAAAAUACCUCACUGAUGACCUGCUAGUACUAUUGGUUAUGAUUGUUGUUUUAACAAUUUUUCUGAUGAUGGGCUUUUAUUUGGGGAUGUUUAUUAUGAGUUGUUGUUUUUCUGUUUGUUUGUUUGUU